ensembl:lncRNA
UCACUUGAUCGGAAAGCAUGGUACUCGCACUCGUCUUCAUAAUUGCGUCUCCUCUGGUUUCAAGUUGGCCUUUGAAAGCAUCGUUGGUACGUUAUCUGUAUUGCUAUGUUAAGGGGUUUGAUGUAUAAUGAGAUGAAGGAAACUUUGUAAACAAAUUAGAUGGAUGGAUAUUCUUACAUUAGCAAGCUAACUUAGUAGCUAAGCUCAUUUUACAGCAUUCUGUUAUUCUCAUACUGAAAUGCUGUACUUCCAAUCCUCAGUUUUAGGGGGGAGGGCAGGGGGAGAGGAGGAGAGGCUGGGGUCAGUGGGGGCCAUUGGACUAUGCCAGGUGAGCUAGGGAUCAAUACACGCUGGGUAAUGGUUCUGCUGGGGGCAUCUAAAACAGUGUUGGAGGGGGUGAGUGAGGGGGAGAAUGAACUUGGGCAGUAAAGGAGAACAGUUUUGGUUGUUUAUUAUUUGAAUCAGUGCUAAUAUCACUCUGCUUGUUGUUCCCAGGAGCAGGUUCUGCUAGUCGGGAGAGUGGUGGAGAAACCGAGAGGGGAUAACGGGAGGUUUAAACGGCCCCGUCCACACGAAGCCGAUUUCAUGGCGAAACCGCAAAGGUCUUGUACGGUUCGGCCUUCCGUCCACACGAAGCCGGCGAAUCCGCUGACCGAAACCGCAAACUUCUGAAACCACCCUCGGAGGUGGUUUCAAAUCAAUCCGGUUUCGUUUUGGUUUCGUGUGGACGCCUGAAACCGACUGAAACCGUAAACCAUGACGUCAUCGCCCCACCCCUCGACCUCCUAGCCAAUGGCUCUUAAGCCCGCGGAGUCUCAGAAAUCAUAACAAAAAAGAUGAUGGCGGACUACAAGCUUGUAAUCGUUCUGCAGCAUAUCAUGUCCCUUGUUGGGUUGCUAAGCCAUUAUUUAUUGAGAAUCUAGUUCGCCAUCGUAGAAGAGCUGUUUGUUUGUGUUGUUAGUGGUUCGGGGGGGGCAGCCUUUAUGCGCAUGCUCGCCUCUUCUUCUUUUGGAUUUGUGUACCAGAAGCAGCGCCCCUUAUGGGCCUGGAAUGUUUACUACAGCGUUUCUAUAGAUCUAUCCGGUUUCGCUUGGCUUCGUCUUUACGGAGAUACUUCGAAACCGGAUAGAUCGAAACCGUAACGGUUUCGCCCGUUUCGGCUUCGUGGACGGGGCCUUAGAGGUGGUUAGGUAGCUGAAGGUCUUCUUCUGAGGCUCUCUGUUGGUGGCGUCCUAAGAUGGCGUCCUCAGCUGUCUGAUGAAGACGAGGUGUUUCUCGCGUGCAGGCGCUCACACGGCCCAGGGAGGUAUCACAUCCUCACACAGGAUGAGGUGUGGGUGGAACAGGAAACCACACACAAAAGUAAUGCACGCACAGUAUGUAGGCUUAAUGAAUAACAAAUAACACUAAUUAACAAUUAACGCUACUUUGAAUUUCAUGGCUGCAGCAUUUCACAGAUUCAUACAUUAAAGGAUCAUCACAAAGCAACCGCAAAGGCAAUGCAAUCUGACAGAGGAGCAACGGCAUGAAACUGAAACACUGAACUGAAACGACUGAACACUGAACUGAAAUUAAUUUAACAAAACUGGAUUAAACAACACAAAAUUAAACAAAGAAUUAAACAGAAUCGAAUUCAACCAAAAUAAUUAAACAAAGUGAAUUAAACUGAACAGAAUUAAUAUGAAUGGAUAAAACGGGACGGAAAUCAACUGGACAGAAUUCAGCUGAUAGAAUGAGGCUGAACCACUCAGAACCAGCUGAGAGCAGAACCGGCAGAGAGCAGAACCAGCUGAGAGCAGAACCAGCUGAGAGCAGAACCAGCUGAGAGCAGAACCAGCUGAGAGCAGAACCAGUAGAACCAGCUGAGAGCAGAACCAGCUGAGAGCAGAACCAGCUGAGAGCAGGACCAGCUGAGAGCAGAAACCAGCUGAGAGCAGAACCAGCUGAGAGCAGAACCAGCUGAGAGCAGAACCAGUGGAGAGCAGAACCAGCAGAACCAGCUGAGAGCAGAACAAGUGGAGAGCGGAACCAGCUGAGAGCAGAACCAGUAGUGAGCAGAACCAGCUGAGAGCAGAACCAGUGGAGAGCAGAACCAGUAGAACCAGCUGAGAGCAGAACCAUUAGAACCAGCUGAGAGCAGAACCAGUAGUGAGCAGAACCAGCUGAGAGCAGAACCAGCUGAGAGCAGAACCAGCUGAGAGCAGAACCAGUAGAGCAGAACCAGUAGAGCAGAACCAGUGGAGAGCAGAACCAGCUGAGAGCAGAACCAGCUGAGAGCAGAACCAGUGUAGAGCAGAACCAGCUGAGAGCAGAACCAGCUGAGAGCAGAACCAGCUGAGAGCAGAACCAGCUGAGAACAGAACCAGUAGUGAGCAGAACCAGCUGAGAGCAGAACCAGUAUGGAGUAGAACCAGCUGAGAGCAGAACCAGCUGAGAGCAG